rnacentral:sRNA from 1 species
GCGUUGAUUGGCCUGAUCUGGCUGGCUAGGUAGGUGACCCCUUCCUCCCUCACCGCUCCAUGUGUACCCUCCUGAAGCUGCACACUGAAUUGAAGAGGAUGGCCAUCCCCAGUAGGGGAGGACCACUUCCUCCAAACACGCUCUCAAAAACAAACAAAAACAGGGUAAGGACAUAGCUCAGUGUU